CCAAGUCAGUGCGUGCCAUUUGCCCAACAAAAGCUGGGCCAAAUAUCCAGUGAAGAAAAUCUGGCUGUGUACAGAUUCCUACGCCAAAGCCAUGGAGAAAUGUCAGCGGCUGAUGGACGCAUCCAGCAUUGAGACGGAAGACGAUGCGAGCGUCCACAAAAGGCAGUGUAGAUGCCCAACGAGGUUCAUGGCAGAUUCUGCAAGUGAUGAUGAAUCCAUUCCACAACCAAAAAAACAUUCCAGGACGGAGUAUGUGUCUGGAAGCCCUGUCCGUAAGUUAACAUUUAUACAUACAUUUAAGAAACCAGAGUCAUAUUUCCUACCAUGGAAGUACUGACAUUCAACCUGGUGCAUAUCAUGUGACUGUUCUGACGUGUUUGUCUCUUCCUGCCUUUUUUUCAGGUCAGCAGAUGUCACUGUCUCCGCCACUUGCAUGUAAGUUUUUUUUUUUGUCUUUUGAUUGUCUAAUGUAACAGCAUAGGUUUAUCUUUUGCAAUAGCAUGUGCAAGAAACCUACCAUAAAUGAACUGACCGAUAUUCAUAUCUACUUUCUUUUUAGAUGAGUCAACACCAUACAGGAAACCAGCCGGUCGCUGGAUGGGUCUAUUCUGACGAAAGCUCGGCUUUCCACUUCUUGGGACCCAGUUGAAGGUACAGUGGCUUUGAAUGUUCCA